AGCUCAAUCACCCAGGACCACAAAAUAUGUGGAAAAGCCUUUUGCCAAAUCCACUUGACAAAGGAGUCAAAGGACCCUAAGGGUUUCCUUGAAGCUCUCUGACUCAAACCACGGCCUGGUCACCACCGCCACGGCUCAGAUUUAAUGCCUGAGCCCCCCAGACUUUUAGAUCAUUGGGUAAUGAAUUGCAGCUAAGGACAACUAUUGAA